CAAGCCUUGACAUCCCUCUGACAGCGUAUGUAAUGUAUGUUCCCUUCGGGGCAGAGGAGACAGGUGGUGCAUGGUUGUCGUCAGCUCGUGUCGUGAGAUGUUGGGUUAAGUCCCGCAACGAGCGCAACCCUUAUCUUUAGUAGCCAGCGCGUAAAGGUGGGCACUCUAGAGAGACUGCCAGGGAUAACCUGGAGGAAGGUGGGGAUGACGUCAAAUCAUCAUGCCCCUUAUGGCUUGGGCUACACACGUGCUACAAUGGCGUAAACAAAGGGAAGCGAGCCCGUGAGGGGGAGCAAAUCCCAAAAAUAACGUCUCAGUUCGGAUUGUAGUCUGCAACUCGACUACAUGAAGCUGGAAUCGCUAGUAAUCGCGAAUCAGAAUGUCGCGGUGAAUACGUUCCC
rnacentral:rRNA from 1 species